UACGAAGGGUGCAAACGUUGCUCGGAAUUAUUGGGCGUAAAGCGCACGUAGGCGGCUUGGCAAGUCGGAUGUGAAAUCCCUCGGCUCAACCAAGGAAGUGCAUCCGAAACUGCUGAGCUUGAGUACUUAAGAGGAUCGCGGAAUUCCCGGUGUAGAGGUGAAAUUCGUAGAUAUCGGGAGGAACACCAGUGGCGAAGGCGGCGAUCGAUGGAAGAUACUGACGCUGAGGUGCGAAAGCGUGGGGAGCAAACAGG
rnacentral:rRNA from 1 species